rnacentral:rRNA from 1 species
CAGCCGCCGCGGGAAUACGUAGGGUGCGAGCGUUAAUCGGAAUUACUGGGCGUAAAGCGUGCGCAGGCGGUUAUAUAAGACAGAUGUGAAAUCCCCGGGCUCAACCUGGGACCUGCAUUUGUGACUGUAUAGCUAGAGUACGGUAGAGGGGGAUGGAAUUCCGCAUGUAGCAGUGAAAUGCGUAGAUAUGCGGAGGAACACCGAUGGCGAAGGCAAUCCCCUGGACCUGUACUGACGCUCAUGCACGAAAGCGUGGGGAGCAAACAGGAUUAGAUACCCCCGUAGUCCCUGUCUCUUAUAC